rnacentral:misc_RNA from 1 species
CAGAGUUGCAAAACUCCCAACCCUUUGUGAACGUACUGAACCCGUUGCUUCGGCGGGACGGCUCCUCAGGAGCGGACCGCCGGAGGAAUCCAAACUCUUGUUAUUAUUGGCAUUCUCUGAGUAGCUUAUUCAAUAAGUA